rnacentral:rRNA from 1 species
GAUGAACGCUGGCGGCGUGCCUAAUACAUGCAAGUCGAGCGAACGGACGAGAAGCUUGCUCCUCUGACGUUAGCGGCGGACGGGUGAGUAACACGUGGAUAACCUACCUAUAAGACUGGGAUAACUUCGGGAAACCGGAGCUAAUACCGGAUAAUAUCUUGAACCGCAUGGUUCAAUAGUGAAAGACGGUUUUGCUGUCACUUAUAGAUGGAUCCGCGCUGCAUUAGCUAGUUGGUAAGGUAACGGCUUACCAAGGCAACGAUGCAUAGCCGACCUGAGAGGGUGAUCGGCCACACUGGAACUGAGACACGGUCCAGACUCCUACGGGAGGCAGCAGUAGGGAAUCUUCCGCAAUGGGCGAAAGCCUGACGGAGCAACGCCGCGUGAGUGAUGAAGGUCUUCGGAUCGUAAAACUCUGUUAUUAGGGAAGAACAUAUGUGUAAGUAACUGUGCACGUCUUGACGGUACCUAAUCAGAAAGCCACGGCUAACUACGUG